GUUGAACGCUGGCGGCAUGCUUUACACAUGCAAGUCGAACGGCAGCGCGGGGGCAACCCUGGCGGCGAGUGGCGAACGGGUGAGUAAUAUAUCGGAACGUACCCAGAAGUGGGGGAUAACGUAGCGAAAGUUACGCUAAUACCGCAUACGAUCUACGGAUGAAAGUGGGGACCUUCGGGCCUCAUGCUUUUGGAGCGGCCGAUAUCUGAUUAGCUAGUUGGUGAGGUAAAGGCUCACCAAGGCGACGAUCAGUAGCUGGUCUGAGAGGACGACCAGCCACACUGGAACUGAGACACGGUCCAGACUCCUACGGGAGGCAGCAGUGGGGAAUUUUGGACAAUGGGGGCAACCCUGAUCCAGCAAUGCCG
rnacentral:rRNA from 1 species